GAUUGAAAACCUGAAAGGGCGAUCCAGGCAAAAGUUAGAGACAUAAAAAUAAAUAUAUGUAUCCCGCUAGAUUGAGUACCUCACCCUGGGGCAAUCUAGGCAAAAAAUAGGGAUUUGGCAAGUAACUGCAUCCUGACAAGACUUUGUUCUAUGACUGUCAUUCGUCAGAGAUUCUCGCUCAUUCAUCAUCAACCAAAGCUUCAAAUACACCGGAUUCAGAAUUGGUGGAGAAAU
rnacentral:lncRNA from 1 species